GCCCCUAUAGCUGAGUUGUAUAGCGUCAGUCUUGUAAACUGAAGGUCCGUGGUUCGAUCCUGCGUGGGGGCA